AUCAGACAUACUAGUGUGGAAAGCAGCCCUGGACUAGCAAGUACAGCGAGUUCUGACAGAUUUAGACAGAAAUAUGGAAGAAUUUAGGCCCCGGAAACUGAAUAUCAAAGGCAAGCCAGGGAGGAGUAUGAGGUGAAUGGACAGAAAGGACACAACUUUGAGACACAAUAAUCCCAUGCAGCACUACAGGCUGGGGGCAGACUGGGUGGAAAGUGGCUCAGUGGAGAAGGACCUGGGGAUGCUGGUAGAGAGAAGCUGAGCAUGAGCCACUGAAUCAUAGAAUGGUUUCAUUUGGAAGGGGACCAUGAAAAUCGUCAAGUUCAACCCCUCUGCUCUGAGCAGGGACACCUUCAACCAGACCAGGUUGCUCAAAGACCGUCCAACCUGGACUUGAGCUUGCCCCAAGGAUGAGGCAUCCACAA
rnacentral:lncRNA from 1 species